UAGGGAAUCUUCGGCAAUGGACGGAAGUCUGACCGAGCAACGCCGCGUGAGUGAAGAAGGUUUUCGGAUCGUAAAGCUCUGUUGUUAGAGAAGAACGUUGGUAGGAGUGGAAAAUCUACCAAGUGACGGUAACUAACCAGAAAGGGACGGCUAACUACGUGCCAGCAGCCGCGGUAAUACGUAGGUCCCGAGCGUUGUCCGGAUUUAUUGGGCGUAAAGCGAGCGCAGGCGGUUCUUUAAGUCUGAAGUUAAAGGCAGUGGCUUAACCAUUGUACGCUUUGGAAACUGGAGGACUUGAGAGCAGAAGGGGAGAGUGGAAUUCCAUGUGUAGCGGUGAAAUGCGUAGAUAUAUGGAGGAACACCGGUGGCGAAAGCGGCUCUCUGGUCUGUAACUGACGCUGAGGCUCGAAAGCGUGGGGAGCAAACAGG
rnacentral:rRNA from 1 species